UACGGAGGGUGCAAGCGUUAUCCGGAUUCACUGGGUUUAAAGGGUGCGUAGGUGGGUUGCCAAGUCCGUGGUGAAAUCUCCGAGCUUAACUCGGAAACUGCCGUGGAUACUGGUAAUCUUGAAUAUCGUGGGAGGUAAGCGGAAUAUGUCAUGUAGCGGUGAAAUGCUUAGAUAUGACAUAGAACACCAAUUGCGAAGGCAGCUGGCUACACAUAUAUUGACACUGAGGCACGAAAGCGUGGGGAGCAA
rnacentral:rRNA from 1 species